rfam:Schistosoma mansoni strain Puerto Rico chromosome 4, complete genome
UGUCUCAGAGAUUAAGCCAUGCAUGUCUAAGUACGUACCUUAAAACGGUGAUACCACGAAUGGCUCAUUAAAUCAGCUAUGGUUCCUUAGAUCGUAAACGCUACAUGGAUAACUGUAGUAAUUCUAGAGCUAAUACAUGCAUUGAAUCCCUGACCCACAAGGGGGCGGGUGCAUUUAUUAGAACAGAACCAAUCGGGUGCGGUUUCGACUGUGCCUGUUACAUUAUGUGAUGACUCUGGAUAACUUUACUGAUCGCAGUUGGCCUUGUGUCGGCGACGGAUCUUUCAAAUGUCUACCCUAUCAAUUUAUUGGUAGGUGAUUGGCCUACCAUUAUGAUAACGAGUAACGGGGAGUCAGGGUUCGAUUCCAGAGAGGGAGCCUGAGAAAUGGCUACCACCUCCAAGGACGGCAGCAGGUGCGAAAAUUAUCCACUUCCGGCACGGGGAGGUAGUGAUGAAAAAUAAAUAUACGGGACUUAAUUGAGGCUCCGUAAUUCGAAUGAGUACAAUUUAAAUCCUUUAACGAGGACCGAUUGGAGGGCAAGUCGAUGAUACAAA